rnacentral:rRNA from 1 species
GCCGUUCUCAGUUCGGACUGUAGGCUGCAACUCGCCUACACGAAGCUGGAAUCGCUAGUAAUCGCGGAUCAGCACGCCGCGGUGAAUACGUUCCCGGGCCUUGUACACACCGCCCGUCACACCAUGAGAGUCUGUAACACCCAAAGCCGGUGGGAUAACCUUUAUAGGAGUCAGCCGUCUAAGGUAGGACAGAUGAUUAGGGUGAAGUCGUAACAAGGUACC